ensembl:snoRNA small nucleolar RNA SNORA17
AAUGCCCCUUGAGGCGUUACAGCUCAGCUUUGGUGUUGCUGCUGUGUCAUAAGGAGGCAGAGAGUGAACGGUGGUGGUCUGCACUGAGCCUCUGACUCCCAGAGGACUCGGGGUGAUUGUCACCACCGACAGA